GGUCGCGGGACAACAUGGCUGCGCCCGCGCUCGGGCCGGCCCGUGGACGCCGCGCCCGGCUCGGUCCCGUCGUCUCGCUGCCGCUGCUCCUGCUGAUUUGCGGGGCGGCGGGGAGCGAAGAGGCCGGGGCCGGUGGGGGAGCGGCGUCCCUCACGGGCUCAUGCGGCUGCGGCUCGGCCCAGCGGCCCGGGGCCCAGGGCAGCGUGGCGGCCGUGCACAGAUACUCCCGCGAGGCGAACACCCUGGGCCCGGGCUCCGGAGAGCGGCCGCUCACGCCCGCCAAGAUGGUCCUCAUCCCUGCUGGAGUAUUUACAAUGGGCACAGAUGAUCCUCAGAUAAAGCAGGAUGGAGAAGCACCUGCAAGGAGAGUUGCUGUUGAUGCCUUUUACAUGGAUGCCUAUGAAGUCAGUAAUGCUGAAUUUGAGAAGUUUGUGAACUCAACUGGCUAUUUGACAGAGGCUGAGAAGUUUGGCGACUCCUUUGUCUUUGAAGGCAUGUUGAGUGAGCAAGUGAAGACUGAUAUCCAACAGGCAAGACACAGAAGAGGGGAUGUCUUUUGGGACCAGGUCAUCUUUUGCCAUCUCUCCAAAACUAAGGUUGCAGCUGCUCCUUGGUGGUUACCUGUGAAAGGCGCCAAUUGGAGACACCCAGAGGGGCCUGACUCUACUGUUCAGCACAGGCCAGAUCAUCCAGUGCUCCACGUCUCCUGGAAUGACGCUGUUGCCUACUGCACAUGGGCAGGGAAACGGCUGCCCACAGAGGCUGAGUGGGAGUACAGCUGCCGAGGAGGCCUGCAGAAUAGACUUUUCCCCUGGGGCAACAAACUGCAGCCAAAAGACCAACAUUAUGCCAACCUCUGGCAGGGUGAGUUCCCUAUGACCAACACUGGAGAGGAUGGCUUCCAAGGAACAGCACCUAAAUUUACUUCUCACAGUUCUGGAGGUUGGGAAGUCCAAGAUCAAGACACUGGAAGGACUGGUGUUGGCGGCAUCCUUGAGAGGGGAAGAUUGUUGUGUCUUUACAUGGUUGGAGGCAGAAGGGCAAGAAAACACUUUUUUCGCCUUAAGUCCUUUUAUAAGGAUGUUGAUGCCUUUCCUCCCAAUGGUUAUGGCUUAUACAACAUUGUGGGGAAUGUGUGGGAGUGGACUUCAGACUGGUGGACUAUUUAUCAUUCGGUUGAAGAAACACUCAACCCACUUCAGGCUGCUGGAACCAUGCCUGUGGGAGCCCAUGUAAUGUGCCAGUUGAAGACUGCUUGGAAGUCAGCUGCUUUGAUUCAGCAAGGCACAGCAGUCAAAAACAAGGAUAUCAGAAAAUUUUGGAUGAAAGGCCCCCCUUCUGGGAAAGACCGGGUGAAGAAAGGUGGAUCUUACAUGUGCCAUAAGGUCUUGCUAUGCUGCUAAGACUGACUUCAAAAUCCUAGGCUCAAGCAGUCUUACUGCAUCAGCCUCCUGAGUUGCAGGAACUACAGGUCACAGUCAUUAGUCCUAGAUUGUCUAAUUGAAGUUGACACUGUAAGUGUUCUUGGAUCAUCUUGCCGGGGAGCCAAGCUUCCAUGAAAAAACAGUUUACCGGAAGGAUAAGUUUUAAUUUAGUCAGGCUCAGAGUGAUGGUGAGAGUAUGCCAAGAGAAAAGCAUAGCUGAGUAAUAAAACUGAAUGGAAUACACGGGAUUUUCAGAGAAAAAUGGCAUUUUCAGGAUCUUGUCCUAUUGCUAUAGGUAUCGCUGUGCUGCUCGAAGCCAGAACACACCCGAUAGCUCUGCAUCAAAUCUGGGAUUCCGCUGUGCAGCCAACCACCUGCCCACUGCGGACUGACAGUUAAGAAGAGCCUUCCCAAAUCCAAGAAGUUAUUUCUAACCUGCACUUGGUUUCCCUCAGAACACUUAAUAACCUUGUGCAAAGAACCCCCACCCUGAGGUGGGUUACAUGUCUGCCUAAUGGCCAAAGGAACCGUCUUGUGAGACCAAAUCACUGACCUGUGUCAGUGCCUGUGCUUUAUUGUGUGGUGCAUCUUUGGAUAUCAUUGCCAUAUUUUCCUUUUGUGAACCUUUGAAAGAAGAAUGGGAAACCAACCUGUUUUUGAUAGUUUCCUAUUUAUCAAAUGAGGAGAUGGACAGCAUCAUCUUUGAGGCUGUUUCAAACUUACAGAUUCUAUGAGUGAUAUCAGAUUCUAUUGUGAUUGCAUAGUGAGAAUUUAUCACAGAUUAUUUUUUAGCUAUUUUUUUCCAUGUGUGACGCUAGGGUGAUACUAAUCAUGUAAAGUAAAAGUUCUCUUAUGUAUUAUUUUUCAGAAAAGGGUGUGGGGGGUGAGUCCUUUAUAUUCAUAUUGCACUUUGUUUUUCCAAGGAAAUCAGUGUCUUUUCCAUUGUUAUGAUGAAUCCCACAUGGACCAGUGAUGGUAUAUUAAUGUUCAGUGCUCUGAACAUACAGGAAUGUCUGUGGGGUGACUCUACUGUGCUUUAUCUUUUAACAUUAAGUGCCUUUGGCUCAGAGGGGCAAUUGUAAGUCCUAUUACCCUCUCUCCCCAAAGCCUUCUGUGAAUGUGAAAUGUGUACUAAAUGGGGAAACCUAUUUAAUCUAGGUAUAGGAGAAAAAGAAUGAAGCCCGUGAAUUACCUAUAUUCAGGGUACCCAGUAUUUUGUAAUAGAGAAGUAGGAAAUGUUGGCUAAGGAAUGUCAGAUACUUUGAAUCAUGCACUAUGUCAAAUAAACUGGUAUCUCUAAGACUGGC